rnacentral:rRNA from 1 species
AGUCUGCAAUCGAUACAUGAAGCUGGAAUCGCUAGUAAUCGCGAAUCAGAAUGUCGCGGUGAAUACGUUCCCGGGUCUUGUACACACCGCCCGUCACACCAUGGGAGUCGGGAAUGCCCGAAGUCGGUGGGCCAACGAAAGAGGCAGCCGCCGAAGGCAGGCCCGGUAACUGGGGUGAAGUCGUAACAAGGUAGC